GAACUGAGGGCCCCCUGGGUUCGCGGGGGCGGGGUGCCUCCUCCUGUGCUUGCGGCUGUGGGCGAGGCAAGACGAGGCAGGCCCGACCUCCGGCCGGCUUUUCGUGUACCUGUCCCUGUCGCGGGCCCAGCACCCACGCUCGCCCCUCCGGCGCCCGAGGUCAAGGCGUCCCUGGCUCUGUCAGCUCUCUCUGCUCUGUCCCCGCCCAGCUGGAAGCUUGGGUCUAAGAAGCAGCAGCUAGGUGAAGAGUGGAGUCACCUCUUUCUCGUUUUCGUGGACCUCACUUUCUACCCCAUAGAGUUUCAUUUUCUGUUCCUCAAGCGGAGACUUGCUAGCCAAGUGCAUCAAUCGUUGUCAAACCCGAAGUCUGGAGGAAAAAACCUAUAUUCGAUCUUGAGGGGAUCCUGCAGAACAUACAGCCAAGAGUUCGAGGGGACCUUCCGUUCCCCAGCUGUAGUAAUUAAUAGUGAUAACAGUAGUCUCUCAUCUUUGCACAGAUUGCAAGACCAUUCCUCAUCAUAUCACUUAACUUAUAUUAUCAUUUGGUAGGAUGAUUAUUCUCAUUUGAUAGGUGAUGAAACUGCUAGGUAAAAGUUCCUGGUCUCUCUGAGUGUUACCCAAGUGCUGUGGCCUCAGCGUCUGCCCUACUACCCCGCUGUUCUCUUUGUUCCUGUCACCCUGCCCUCAGAACUUUUUGAGCCAGAGUGUGAUCCUGGAGCUGAUAUUUGUAUUUGUGAGAGUACCAGAAUGGAGUAUAUUGAGCCCACUUUAGUUGCUUUUCAAUUACUAGAUUGGAAGGUAAAAGAAUCAACAGUUUGACCUUGACAAUCCUGUUAUGAACCAUCUAGAAAAUUGACUGUGACUGCCAGAUGGCUUUUUCACUCUUAACUUGACAAUCCUAGGAAGGUGGUGUUACCCACAAAGGUUCAAUGUCAAGCAUGUAUUUUAAUAAAAAUAAAGGAAGCAAGCAUUUGUGGACA